rnacentral:lncRNA from 1 species
AUUUUAGUAUCUCAAUAUUGGUGUUAAUUUUGCCAAGCAGAAAUAGAUCCAGCGGCUAUGUAGCCUUCUUUCUUCCUGCCAGCUUGCCUGACAUCCAGACAGCAAAUAGUUUAAGUAUUUUAAGUCCCUGAUGUUGUUCUAGGCAGUGGUGAUCGAGGCAGCUGCUCUAUGAGUAUCACUAAGUCUUAUAACUUCAGUUGUUUGACUUGUGUUAGAAGGAGCAAUGUAAUGGAUGAAUGUUGGAUAUUGUAUAUAUUUAUUUAGAUGGUCCUAUUUUUGUUCUUAAACUCUGGGAUUUUGAAAAAUCAGUGCAGAUUCCCUGUAAGUAAAAUUUCUAUAGCUUAAAAGAAAUCCUAUCUUUGUUACAUAAAUUUUUAAUUUGUCUCCUCAUUUAUAUUUUAAAGUGAAAAACAGACACAAUUCCAUUGGCUGAUCAAC